GCCUCCAUUCUUUCUUUCUUUCUCUCCCUCCCCGCUCAGAUCCUCUCUCCUCUCCCACCAUGCAGAUCCCCCUCGCACCCCUCGUCGCUGCCACCCAACCCUCUGAACCUCGCCGCCGCCCUCACUCUCCCCUCGUCUCCCUCGUCCUCAACCAACCUCACCGCCGUGCAGUGGCUGGGUUGUCGCCGCGCGCUGUUCCUGCGGGCUGUCCCUUUGGGGGCCGGCUCCCAUGAUUCAAUCCAAUCCUCUCCCCCGAUCCCACCUGCCGGCGGUGACCUCCCCACAUCCAUGGCCUCCCCACGCCCUUCCUCGCCGCAUCACCACCCCGACCCCCUCCCUUCCCCACCGCAUCGCCACCCCAAGCCACCUCCCUUCCCUAACCCUACACCCAUACCUCAAACUGCGCCGCAACAUAUCUGAUCCCCCUUCUCCGUGGCGGAGUGCCUCCUUUCCCGAGUUCACCAAGGACAGCGUCUGCUUCAUCAAGCGCUGCUACAAAGCCCGACCGCAAGGAGUUCACCAAGGUUGGCGGCGCAGACGGCGAUUGGGUUCAUCGUCAUGAGAUUCGUCGGCUUCUUCGUCAAGCUCAUCUUCAUCCCCUCGUCAGGCACAACUUCUCUGAUCUUGUCCGCAUCUCUGAUCUCGUCCACGACUACGACCGCAACGGAAGCCUCCUCUGCUCGGAUCUAUGCUAUAAGGACCUAGAGCAUCUAUUCUGAAAUCAUAGCUACAAGUUGUUGCUGUCGAUGGUGCCAUGGUGGUGCACAAUGUUUUUGGACCUCUCUGAGCUGAAGGUUUAUUCAAGAUUAACCAAUGAUUCAUGUGAGCAUCUAUUCUGAAAACCGGCAGCAGUUUUUUAUUUCCUGGAACUGUUUCAAUACUGCUAGAGUCUAAUGCUUACACUAGCUUCCCUAACUUAUCCCUAUGCAAAGACUCAUUAUACAAAUCAGAUACAAAGAUGAUCCCAUGUAUGAGUAAAGCUGGAUGACCAUCCAUUUUGUAAGAUUACAUAAUUGGUAGAACACGUUAUCUAGAGAACUAAAUUGUUUGAGCACUAAAGGUGAAUUUGCAUGCCACUGAAUACUAUGUAAAUUCUACACUACUGAAAGUGUGCAGCUUAUGAUUCCUUUGCUGAAACAUGAAUGUGCAGAUGGGAGUAUCACAACAUGCAUAUAGUGAAGAUGGGAGUAUCACAACCUGAAUGUGCAACUUAUGUAGUUUCUGUAUUUUUGUUAAAGCAUGGAGUAGCUUCUAUAGUUUUGUUAAAAAUUAUCUUGGCCUUGGGCUGAUUUGAGUACUACCAAGGGAAGGAUAUUGAACUUUCCUUGCGGAUGCAUAGCGUGUAGGAGAAUUCUGCUUGACAACAAAUUUACUUGUCUUGAAUUAUUUCUUUUUACUGGAUGUUCAGAAUGUUCAAUUAACUUUGUUUCUUUUGUGACCUUGCUAUGUAAAGGUUCGCAUAUUCAGAGGAGACAUACCGAGGUCAAGCUUGCAUGGUCUCUGUUUGUUGUGGCUACUGACAUGGUCGACGCUGAACUGGAAUUAACCCUGGUUCCAGCUUAUUUGUACUAUUAUUAUUAUAGCAUGUCCUAAUAUCUACCAUUAAACUGGCAACACCAUUGAACUGCUGCUUGCCUACCUAGUGCCAGCGCCAGCGCCAUUUCCAUGUCCACUAUUUAUUAUCUGGUAUAUGACGAUGAGCAGAGUGAAGCCUAGUAUUGCUGCUGCACAAAUAGAUUGCUUGCCACUUUGCUACCUGAAACAGAGUCUCGAUUCCAUUCACACACUUUUCUGACUCUUUAUUUAUUAGCGGCCCAUGUAAGAACAAAAAAAAUAAAGCUCCAACUAAGUACGGUAUUUUGUUUUUGUUUCAUGCUCUUUGUAGCUGACGGGUUGGGCUGUGCUUGGAUGGGCCAUGUUGUAGCUUUUAGACAGUCUGCAUACUAACUUAGCCUCCAUAUUACAAGUUUAAAAGAAUUGCUAUGUAGUUCACAAACCUGGGACUAAACAUUUCAUUAUUUUUUCUCUUGACGACUUUUACUUGGACUUUCAGUUUCAAUAAGCCACAUCCUUGUAUAAAACUUAACACUGUCAUGCACCUGUUUGCGCGUAUGCCUAUGAUAGGGUUAGGACCUGCCGCACCUUUAGAAUAAAUACAUCUGAGAUGAUAAUAUUUCUAUUAAAGUGUUAACACUGAUAUUACUGAGCUAUCUUCAGUAGUGAGGUGGUCCCCUCCUUGCUCGUCGAGAUCGCCCUCAUCCUCCGUGUCGCCAACGAGGCUGAGGCCAGCGACCCAUGAGUCGCCUACCUAUGUCGAUUCUACGCAUCCGAGAAACCUGUAGUACUUGUUUCUCUGCAUGUUUGAGCACUCGAGCAGCACUCAAGCAGUACUUCAAAAUGGAGUAGCUUAAUUCACUGAAUUUGGUUGUAGUACUAGUUGAUUCACUGAGAAGAUUCGGUAAUGAGUUGAAAAUGUGAUGAUUUAGCUCACUUUCUUAAUGUGAUGUUGCUGCUGUACUCCAUAAAUUACUGAACAAUUGUUAAAACUCCAAAAAUACAGUAUUUGCUACUGGCCUAUUAGUGUUAGCAGUAUUUGCAGCUGGAGUAUUUAGAGAUUCAGUUUCCUACUCCAAAUUUUGUACGUUUUUGAUGUGAAACACUUAUGCAUGACUAAGUGUUAAGCUGAUACAAUUUUGAGUCUGCACUUCUGUAUGUUUUUGAUGUGAAACACUUAUGCAUGACUAAGUGUUAAGUUGAUACAAUUUAUUUGGUAGACAAGCAUGGAAAUAUGUAUUAACUUCCUGAAAGUAGACAAGCAUGACAAUUCUGUUCAAUUCUGAUUUCUUUUGUAGUCAAUUAUGUUCAACUAAUUUCUGAAUAUUUCUGAUGUGACCUGUGGCCAGGUACUAGAGGCUGGCCAGAUACUCCAUUGACAUCUCUAGCUCCCACAUGUCGCCCCUGGGCUGGAGCGCCCUCGUGGGCGAUCAGCAUCCUCCUGGUGGCGCUGCUCCUCACAAAGUGUUAAGUUGGAUUACCGCCUCAUGUUGAUGGCAUUGUUUCUUUUUGGUGAUCUAAUGUCGCUUAGGUUGCUGCUGCUGUGAUGGAAGCGCACCACAACUUUAGUUGAUGUUAUCUGUUUUUGCUUAUUAUAGUUGAGGUUGGACGUGCAGACUUGUAUGUGAUGUUGUGUGUAUUUGGAUGAAUGAUUUCGGAAUUUAAUCAUUUAAUUGAGAGAAUUAUUGAGUGUUUGCUGUUCAAA